GAGGGUAUAGCUCAGUGGUAGAGUGUGUGCUUAGCAUGCACAAGGUUCUGGGUUCAAUCCCCAGUACCUCCA
rnacentral:tRNA from 1 species